rnacentral:rRNA from 1 species
UACGUAGGGGGCAAGCGUUGUCCGGAAUCAUUGGGCGUAAAGCGCGUGUAGGCGGCUCGAUAAGUCUGCUGUGAAAGUCCAGGGCUCAACCCUGGGAUGCCGGUGGAUACUGUCGGACUAGAGUACGGAAGAGGCGAGUGGAAUUCCCGGUGUAGCGGUGAAAUGCGCAGAUAUCGGGAGGAACACCAAUUGCGAAGGCGGCAUCCUGGCCCACGACUGACACUCAGACACGACAGCAUGGGGAGCGAACGGG